rnacentral:lncRNA from 1 species
AUGGCCAGUGCUCACGCGGGGGACACUGAGGAAGCCAGAUUUCCCAGGCCCCCAGAACCAGAGUCGUGGCGCAAAAGUCCUGAUUCUGCUGUAGGUGUCCCCACAGCCAGAUCACAGAAGCUCGGGGACACUCGGACCUUCAGGAGGCAGGAGGUGAUGCCUGGAAUGGAAGUUUCACUUGUCCGGCAGCCCAACCCUCAUGUGGCGCAUUCUGGGGAGCAGAGGUGGGGAGAGCAGGCCUUGGAGCUGGCGCGGGGGUGCAGGGCGGUGGCAGCCUGGCCGGCAGCCCUCCCUUUUGCUUCUCUAGCUUCUCCAUCUCUGUCUUCUCCAGGUGAUGCUGGGCUAUGGCUUCACAUCUCCAUGGACCCUCUGAGGCUGGUGGGACCCCUCGCUACCUGCAGCCUGGGCUGGUGUUCCCCGAGGUCUUCUUUUUCUCACAAAAGAAGCCAGGAUAGGGCCGGGGAUUUAGCUCAGUGGUUCUGGCACCUGCCUCACAAGCGCAAGGUCCCGAGUUCGAUCCCUGGUAUCAAAGAAAGAAGCCGGCUUAGCUCACCUCCCUGCAUGUCUGUCCCCACGGCACGUGCUGUUCCUCUGGCGGCUGGAGUUACCUGGGGACUGGGGCUCACGCUCUCCAGGGUCUCAUAGUAGCAGGGGUCUGGCAGUAUGGCUGGAGCAGUCGGAUGUGAUGGCCGAGUGAGGAGACUCACUAACCACAGAUGGAGAAUGGCAGCACCCAAGCCUGACUCGGGACCAAGCUGAACCCUGUACCCAGCACCAGUGAGAACAUGAAGAACCUGGCACGUGAUAUCAGUCUUCUAGCACGAGGCCAGUGUGACCUCCGGGGUCAGCUGUGGAGACACAGAAGGGCGGCAGUGACUGAGCUGUGGCCACCGACCUCUUGCUCUUGCAGCAUCUGUUCUGUGUGCAGGACACACCCGCUCUUUUUCCUUCAGAGCACCUUUUCUCCCUGAGCACUUCUGUGCUUCUCCCUUUUAUUCCUGCCCUAAAUAAAUGGUAAUCUUUCACAUCCACCAAUUGUCCUGACCAAUUCGUUGACUGGGACAAAUAAGAACCUGGGAAACGCUGUUG